CCCUUAGACGUUCUGGGCCGCACGCGCGCUACACUGACCAGUGCAACAAGCAUCCGUCCUUGGCCGACAGGCCCGGGCAAUCUUUGAACGCUGGUCGUGAUGGGGAUAGACUUUUGCAAUUUUUGGUCUUCAACGAGGAAUUCCUAGUAAACGCAAGUCAUCAACUUGCAUUGAUUACGUCCCUGCCCUUUGUACACACCGCCCGUCGCACCUACCGAUUGAAUGGCCCGGUGAAGCCUCCGGAUUGGCGCGCACCUCGGUGCCGCCGAGAAGUUGGCUAAACCUUACCAUUUAGAGGAAGGUGAAGUCGUANCA
rnacentral:rRNA from 1 species